rnacentral:rRNA from 1 species
UGGGAAUUUGGACAAUGGGCGAAAGCCUGAUCCAGCAAUGCCGCGUGUGUGAAGAAGGCCUUCGGGUUGUAAAGCACUUUUGUCCGGAAAGAAAUCCUUGGCUCUAAUACAGUCGGGGGAUGACGGUACCGGAAGAAUAAGCACCGGCUAACUACGUGCCAGCAGCCGCGGUAAUACGUAGGGUGCAAGCGUUAAUCGGAAUUACUGGGCGUAAAGCGUGCGCAGGCGGUUUGCUAAGACCGAUGUGAAAUCCCCGGGCUCAACCUGGGAACUGCAUUGGUGACUGGCAGGCUAGAGUAUGGCAGAGGGGGGUAGAAUUCCACGUGUAGCAGUGAAAUGCGUAGAGAUGUGGAGGAAUACCGAUGGCGAAGGCAGCCCCCU